UCAAUAAUAUUAUAACGAAAUCUAAAUUGUAGAGUAGAAUAAAUCAUUUACAAAAAAUUCACAGAGAUUUAUUAUGAUCUAUCAAAGUUAGAGAAACUCAAAAAACAAUUUAGGAAUAUUUAUAUCCUUGUCAUACCAAUUAUUAAAUUCCCAAAACCAUAUAAAAACGAAAAGCAAGUUGUUAGCUGUUAGCUGUUAGCAAACGCAAUGCUGAUGCAGCGUCGUUUUAUAAAGAACCCCGCCUUUUGGGAAAAUCAAACCACAGAAACAGAAAGAGAUUCUCUCUGGACCUGAAAAAACUGGAACCAAAAAAAAAAGGAAAAAGGAAAAAAAAAAAAACGCAAUUGCUCUUUCCUUUCUUCCUUUCUCUUCCCCCUCUGCAACCAGGUUCGUCUUCUCACCAUCCUUCUGCAAAUCCAUUUUCUCCUUCAAGGCGAAAAAAAAAAAAAAGAAGAGGAAUUCUUGCAAUUCAAAACCAAUUUCAAAAAGGGUAUUACACAAGUAACCUCCUAUAUCUAGCCUCUUUUAAUAUCUGCUCUUAAAAUUCUCUUAUCUAUUUUUACUUUUAAAAGAAACCCCAGAUUUCUCUUCCUGUGAAAGCUUAUCUAAAACCCAUCAAUUUUCUGGGCUUAAUUAGCGCUUCUUUCUUUUUAGUAUUUGAUAAGCCCCGGGUUCCGUUUCUUGUAGCUCUACCGUUUUGUUUCAGUCAAUGGAUUUGCAAUUGGUGAACAAGGCGCUGACUUUUUCACGUAGGAAGAAAAAAUGGCUUAUUUUGUUAGCUAUGUGUGGAGUCUCUGGUUAUGGGGUUUACAAGGUGUAUAAUUUGCCCUCUGUGGUGAAGAAGAGAAAGAGGUUUUUCAAGCUCUUUGGAGCCCUGAUUUCGUUAGCUGAAUUGGUCUCAGAAUCCGCGGAGACGAUCAAUGUUGUCUCCAAGGACUUGAGGGAGUUUUUGCAAUCUGGAUCUGAUCAAGUUCCUAAUAGUUUGAAGCAAAUUUCAAAGAUUGUGAGAUCAGAGGAUUUUUCCCAAUCUUUUAUUAGCGUUACUGAGGCUUUAACAGUUGGAGUUUUAAGAGGGUAUAAGUUAGAAUCAGGGGAUGAGAAUGAAUUGGAAACGGUUUCGGAGAAUUCCAGCUUUACUGAUAGGGUGUUGGAUAGGGUUUUCUCUAAUGCUGGGACUGGUUUUGUAUCUGUUGUGGUUGGUAGCUUUGCUAGGAAUCUGGUUCUGGGGUUUUACUCAAGUGGUGUAGAAAUUGGGGGGUUGAGUGGGAAUGAUGUGUCAUCUGAUGUGCCUAAAUGGGUUAAUGUGCUUUAUGACGAUAAGUGCAAAGAGCUAAUGGCUGAUUGCAUACAAAGAUUUGUAAGCACAGCUAUUGCAGUUUAUCUUGACAAGACAAUGGACAUUAAUACUUAUGAUGAAAUGUUUGCUGGGAUGACCAAUCCAAAGCAUCAAAAAAAUGUGAGGGACAUUUUAGUUUCUGUUUGUAAUGGUGCUGUGGCAACGCUGGUGAGAACAUCACAUCAAGUGUUGACAAGUUCAAACUCGGGUUCUACUUGUUCAGUUCUUGAUCAGAGUGAGGAUGCCAGUGGAAUGAGAGAUGGUUUCAAUAAAGAAGUAUCUGUACAAGGAGUGAAAGAAGGGAGCUCAUUUGAUGGGAUUCAGAAUAAUGGGUGGGUUUAUAAGGUCUCAUCCACAUGGGCAGUUCCCAGCAAUAGGAAGUUUGUGCUUGAUGUGACUGGGAGGGUGACCGUUGAAACAAUAAGGUCUAUAGUGGAGUUUCUAUUAUGGAAGCUUUCAGAGGGUUUGAAAAGAAGCAUUCAUAUUGUCCAUGAGAAGGUUGUGGAAAGGGGACUAGAUGUUAUCAGAUAUGUUGGCGCGAAGUCUUCCGUUAUUGUCACCAUUUGUCUUGCUCUGUACUUACAUAUCCUGGGUGGUAGUAGGGUUCUUUUGCCUGCUUGAACGAGUUUGUACCUUUUUUCAUGGAAAUACAAAGAAAUCUUACCAAAGUUGCUUAUAUCAGAAGGCCUUGUAUGCAUAUUUCUCCCCUGCAAAUAAAAUUUAUAACUAAGUUGAUAGGGAUGAAUCUGGAAAUUGCGAGUGAGACAAUCAUCCACAUUUCUGAUUCUCAGAGGAAACGGAAUUAUUCAAAAGCAGCA